UUUUUUUUUAACAAUACAUAUCCAAAACAUGAUGAAGAUUCAUUCAACACCCAAAAAAAAUGCUGUUUCACUUUAUCAGUUUGAGACUAUGACAACAAUUAUACUUAUAAGAAUACACUUGCCAAAACUUGAUUACAAAGUUAUUAAACACAAAACCAAUUAAAAUUGGGAGCGAACAUGUAGGGUGCGAACGGACUUUGGGUGCGAACAUGUAGGGUGCGAAAGUGAAAGGGGGCGAA
rnacentral:lncRNA from 1 species